ACGGUCCUAAGGUAGCGAAAUUCCUUGUCGGGUAAGUUCCGACCUGCACGAAUGGCGUAAUGAUGGCCAGGCUGUCUCCACCCGAGACUCAGUGAAAUUGAACUCGCUGUGAAGAUGCAGUGUACCCGCGGCAAGACGGAAAGACCCCGUGAACCUUUACUAUAGCUUGACACUGAACAUUGAGCCUUGAUGUGUAGGAUAGGUGGGAGGCUUUGAAGCGUGGACGCCAGUCUGCGUGGAGCCAACCUUGAAAUACCACCCUUUAAUGUUUGAUGUUCUAACGUAGGCCCCUAAUCGGGGUUGCGGACAGUGUCUGGUGGGUAGUUUGACUGGGGCGGUCUCCUCCCAAAGAGUAACGGAGGAGCACGAAGGUUAGCUAAUCCUGGUCGGACAUCAGGAGGUUAGUGCAAUGGCAUAAGCUAGCUUGACUGCGAGCGUGACGGCGCGAGCAGGUGCGAAAGCAGGUCAUAGUGAUCCGGUGGUUCUGAAUGGAAGGGCCAUCGCUCAACGGAUAAAAGGUACUCCGGGGAUAACAGGCUGAUACCGCCCAAGAGUUCAUAUCGACGGCGGUGUUUGGCACCUCGAUGUCGGCUCAUCACAUCCUGGGGCUGAAGUAGGUCCCAAGGGUAUGGCUGUUCGCCAUUUAAAGUGGUACGCGAGCUGGGUUUAGAACGUCGUGAGACAGUUCGGUCCCUAUCUGCCGUGGGCGCUGGAGAAUUGAGGGGGGCUGCUCCUAGUACGAGAGGACCGGAGUGGACGCAUCACUGGUGUUCGGGUUGUCAUGCCAAUGGCACUGCCCGGUAGCUAAAUGCGGAAGAGAUAAGUGCUGAAAGCAUCUAAGCACGAAACUUGCCCCGAGAUGAGUUCUCCCUGAGACUUUAAGUCUCCUGAAGGAACGUUGAAGACGACGACGUUGAUAGGCCGGGUGUGUAAGCGCAGCGAUGCGUUGAGCUAACCGGUACUAAUGAACCGUGAGGCUUAACCUU
rnacentral:rRNA from 1 species